GGCGGCGGGAGAGCGGCGGGGUGCGGGUCACAGGCGGCGCAGUCAGAAGCAGUCCACGAAGCACUUGAAAGUGAGCCUGAAGAAUCUCCUGUGUGUCAGGGGCCCGGGGGCGCGCGGGCGUCGGCGGGGCCCGGCCAGGCGUCCGCGGCAGCGGUUCCGGAGGCUCUUGCCCGCGGCUCGGGCGGUGGCGGCUGCCACGGCUCCUCGGCCGACCCGAGGCUCAGCCUAGCGGGGCACGGGCGAUAUCGGCGCUCGCAGUCUGCAAGCGGCGGCUGGAGCAGGGGCCUGUGGCCCGCGCCCCCGGCCCCGGCCGGGGCCCGCGGCGGCUGCCCGGCUCACCCGAGACUCCGGUGGCGGCGGCGGCGGCUCAGGCGCGCCUCGCCCUCUCCUUCUGGGCGGCGGCGGCUGCAGCCGCUCUCGGGGCCGCGGCGGGCUCAGCGACUCGCCACCGCGUUCCGACUGUUCCUCUCUUCCCGGUUCCCGGCCGGCAGCCGCUUAAAAACCGACUCCGGGGUGAUGUCACUAUCGCCCCACCCCCACGGCUGGCCGGCCCCCCUCUCCCUCCCGCCCUGCUCGUCACAGUCCGCCCACCUUGUCCCUGCCCUCCUCCCGGGGAGGAGUCGCCGCUCCAGCGGGAGGCAGGAUGGUUGCUACCUGGGGCGGCCGCCAGCUCCUCCCGCAGUGCUCCGGGCCGCCCCUCACCCCAGGGUCGCCCGCUCCUAGUGUGGCCCAGGCUUCCCGGCCUGCCCCUCCCAGCCCUAGGAAGACGUCCCCCGGGCCCCCUCAGCCCUCCGCCUCCCCUUCUCUCCCUUUCUCCCCGCUCCUGGCAGGCUGCAGCCGUCUCCUCCCGGUGCUCGCUCCUUCCUUGAGCUCUGUCCACCGCUGCCCACUGGGGGCUAGAGCUUCCCGGCUACCCUGGAAGCUGGAGGCUGGGACCAGCUCUUCAGGUGACAGGCCUCUGUGUCUCCACAGUGGCCAGAGGGGAGCCUGCCUGACUGAUGAGCAAGGCUCCACUUUGUCACCAAGGCAGAGAAGGGGCCCGGGGUCUUCUCUGGCCCAGCCUUUGACUGAAGCUGGUCUGGAGACAGGGGCGUUAGAGAAGUGACUCAUAGAUGGCCUAAAUAAGCGGGGCCACUCAAGGACCCAGGACAGGGGGAAGAGGGCCAACCCAUCUGGACCGCAGGCAAACCCCAUGGCCUUUGAGAGAAGAGAGAAGAGGACCCGGUGAAGUAGGCUCCGAGGGCCUCAGCCCAGCAGGAGCGCAGGGAGCUGCACCAGGAACUCACAGAGGAUCAGGGAGAAUUCUGAGAACAUGCUACUGUGGUGCUGCCUAGAGAGGAAGGAUAAAUGAUGACAAGUACAUCUCUGAGUAACGGAGUUCAAGCAGGCUGGAUGGGUCCAUCUAUGGAUGAUCUUCCCCAGCCCCUUCCUCUUCCCAGCUCAUCCCUGGCUCUCUGUGUGAACAGGUCUCAUCAGUGGAAUGUGGUUGAUGAAGUGAGGUCUUCAAUUUUCUCAUCUACUGUGUGGUCAUGUUAUUUUCCUCAUCUGAGGCUUAAAAACUCACCUGCAUGCAGCACAUGACAGCUUAAAAUCUCUUGUGAACAAAACAGUAACAAAGACACCCACCAGCGUUGAGCAUCCCGUGUUGAUGACAGCGACCACCAGGGGUCAACGUCCUCUUCACAAUCCUGUGUCAGAGCAUCACUUGACUGAUUUCAUUAGCAACUUCCCAGGAGAAUCAGCUUACAAAAUACUUGUCCCAUUUUCCAUGCAGAUGUAACCCAUCUAUUUUACUGAAGAAAUGGGAAGAGCUGAAUGCUGAAUACACUGAAUGUCUGCAGGUUGUGCAAGUUUGUGACUUUAUCACUUUCUAAUUUCUGAUCUGUGUGGACCACUCUACAGAUUUUUCUCACUGGUGUGAUCAGCCUUCUGGAUGUCAAAUAUAAUAGACUUUCAAUAAUAUAAAAGUCAACACAAGCUCCUCAUGGUUUCAGUGCUCAGUGAUGACUCUAAACUUACACAAUGUGUUUCUUUAUUAGUUUUGUUUUCUGGUAUCUCUACUCGGCAUCUUCACCACACCCAUUUUAUGUUUCUUAUACAGGCUUUCUUCUAUGAAAUGCUAUGUCAUGAAUAUGCAAAUAACCUGAGAUCCACUGAGGUAAAUUUGGAUGUCUGUGCCCUGAGAGCAUCACCCAACAACCACAUCCCUCCUCUAUAGAAGCCCCUGAGAACACAGCUCCUCACCAUGGACUGUACCUGGGGGAUCCACUUCUUGGUGGCAGCUGCCACAGGUGUCCAUUCCCAGGUUCAGCUGUUGCAGCCUGGGGCUGAGGUGAAGAAGCCUGGGUCCUCAGUGAAGGUCUCCUGCCAGGCUUCCAGAUACACCUUCACCAAAUACUUUACACGGUGGGUGUGACAAAGCCCUGGACAAGGGCAUAGUGGAUGGGAUGAAUCAACCCUUACAAUGAUAACACACACUAUGCACAGACGUUCUGGGGCAGAGUCACCAUUACCAGUGACAGGUCCAUGAGCACAGCCUACAUGGAGCUGAGCAACCUGAGAUCUGAAGACAUGGUCAUGUAUUACUGUGUGAGAGACACAGUGCAAAAACCCACAUCCUGAGAGUGUCAGAAACCCCAGGAAGGAGACACCUGUGCUGACACAGAGGAGAUGACAAAGAUUAUUAGAUUAAAGAUUUGCUUAGAAAAUGACAUUAAGUCAUUAAAGAAAAGGAACAAUAUUAAUGUGUAUUUGAGAAAUUUUAAUUAUUUGAGAGAUUUUUCAUACAACAUUUAUUCUGUAAACAAAUUUCAAUGAUUAGAGAAUUAAUCAAAUUAAUGAAACUAAUAUAGAACUUCCUCUGAAGGUAUCUCUGUAAACAUUAAUUUCUUAAUCAGUGCUGUAAGUAUUUUGGAAUACAGACACAAAAUCACAUUUUAAGUCUGCAUUUAUAUCUAUUAAAAAUGCCAAAAAAAUCUCCUUUUGUGCGUGUAGCAUUUUGAAUUCCCACCAUCAAUGCAUGAUAGUUCUUGGUUUUCCACAUUCAUAUUGCCAUGUAUCCUUAUGAGAGUUGUGUGUUUUAACCAAUCUAGUAGGUGAGUAAUGGGAUCUAAUUUUUAUUUAAAUGCACAUGUCCCUCAAAAAGUUCAUAUUUAACAAUUUUCCAAUAACUUUUGUUGAGAUGCCU